rnacentral:rRNA from 1 species
AGUGAACGCUGGCGGUAGACCUAACACAUGCAAGUCGAACGGCAGCACAGUAAGAGCUUGCUCUUACGGGUGGCGAGUGGCGGACGGGUGAGGAAUACAUCGGAAUCUACUUUUUCGUGGGGGAUAACGUAGGGAAACUUACGCUAAUACCGCAUACGACCUACGGGUGAAAGCAGGGGAUCUUCGGACCUUGCGCGAUUGAAUGAGCCGAUGUCGGAUUAGCUAGUUGGCGGGGUAAAGGCCCACCAAGGCGACGAUCCGUAGCUGGUCUGAGAGGAUGAUCAGCCACACUGGAACUGAGACACGGUCCAGACUCCUACGGGAGGCAGCAGUGGGGAAUAUUGGACAAUGGGCGCAAGCCUGAUCCAGCCAUACCGCGUGGGUGAAGAAGGCCUUCGGGUUGUAAAGCCCUUUUGUUGGGAAAGAAAAGCAGCAGGUUAAUACCCCGCUGUUCUGACGGUACCAAAAGAAUAAGCACCGGCUAACUUCGUG